UUUGUACUUUUAUCCCUUAUGGUUUUUUUUAUUUAGCGAAUAGCACUGCAUUAAAUAAAUAUCAUGAAAAAACGGAAAAUUGUAACCCUACGUCAAUUUGUUUUGAAGGGGACAAAAUGUCGGACAUUGCUAUUCAACUGGAUUUUAAAGAAAAAACAAUUCUAAAUCCUUGAUUAUUGCAUGAGGGGAAAGCGAGACGUUUGUACAAAAUGCUAUUAUAAAAAUUAUUUACUUACGACAUGGCGAUUGCUUUGGUAUUCACUUUUUUCACCAUAAAUUACAGAAAUGACAUCAACUUUUCGUGCAUGGGACACAUAAUUUGUAUCAGCUUGAUCCCUUUUUUUCGUAAAUCCGUCUGUCCGUAGAAAAAAACGGACAUAACGUCAUUGACCCAUUAUGACGUGCUUGUUCGGGACAAAUUUUUAUAUCGUUUGGCGAAUUUUUUGGUGUGCUUUUUACAAUAUUCGGAAUUUCACAAAACUUUUAGUGUAACGCGGGACAAGUAAAUAAUUUAAAAAAUGAGGGUUUUAUUGUUUUUUAUAUAAUAAAAUCAGCCUGGAACAUAUACAAAAUUGCGAUAUUCGGAAAGAAGAAUUAAAAAGCUCUAACAUGAUAUAUAACACUUUAGUAUAUCAAAUUUAAUGUAUAUAAAUUAAUGACAUGAAUACGUCUUGUCCGCGAUUUCACCAAAGUAACACCAGUAUCGUGCGACGUUUCA
rnacentral:lncRNA from 1 species